GAUGAACGCUGGCGGCGUGCUUAACACAUGCAAGUCGAACGAAGCAUUUAAGACAGAUUACUUCGGUUUGAAGUCUUUUAUGACUGAGUGGCGGACGGGUGAGUAACGCGUGGGUAACCUGCCUCAUACAGGGGGAUAGCAGCUGGAAACGGCUGGUAAUACCGCAUAAGCGCACAGUACCACAUGGUACAGUGUGAAAAACUCCGGUGGUAUGAGAUGGACCCGCGUCUGAUUAGCUUGUUGGCGGGGUAACGGCCCACCAAGGCGACGAUCAGUAGCCGACCUGAGAGGGAGACCGGCCACAUUGGGACUGAGACACGGCCCAGACUCCUACGGGAGGCAGCAGUGGGGAAUAUUGCACAAUGGAGGAAACUCUGAUGCAGCGACGCCGCGUGAGUGAAGAAGUAGUUCGCUAUGUAAAGCUCUAUCAGCAGGGAAGAUAGUGACGGUACCUGACUAAGAAGCUCCGGCUAAAUACGUG
rnacentral:rRNA from 1 species